GAUGAACGCUGGCGGCGUGCCUAAUACAUGCAAGUCGAGCGAACAGACGAGGCGCUUGCUCCUCUGACGUUAGCGGCGGACGGGUGAGUAACACGUGGAUAACCUACCUAUAAGACUGGGAUAACUUCGGGAAACCGGCGCUAAUACCGUAUAAUAUAUUGAACCGCAUGGUUCAAUAGUGAAAGACGGUUUUGCUGUCUCUUAUCGAUGGAUCCGCGCCGGAUUAGGUAGUUGGUACGGUAACGGCUUACCAAGGCAACGAUGCGUAGCCGACCUGAGAGGGGGAGCGGCCACACUGGAAGGGAGACACGGUACAGACGCCUAGGGGAGGCAGCAGUAGGGAAUCGGCAGGAAGGGGCGAAAGCCUGACGGAGAAAGGCGGAGUGAGGGAGGAAGGUCUUCGGAUCGUAAAACUCGGUUAUUAGGGAAGAACAAAUGUGUAAGUAAGAAGGAGCGUCUGGAAGGGAAAUAAGCAGAAAGCCACGGCUAAAUAAGUG
rnacentral:rRNA from 1 species